GAUGAAGAACGCAGCGAAAUGCGAUAAGUAGUGUGAAUUGCAGAAUUCAGUGAAUCAUCGAAUCUUUGAACACACAUUGCGCCCUUUGGUAUUCCUUAGGGCAUGCCUGUUCGAGCGUCAUUUAAACCUUCAAGCUAAGCUUGGUGUUGGGUGACUGUCCGCUUCACGGCGGACUCGCCUCAAAAUUAUUGGCGGCCGGUACAUUGGCUUCGAGCGCAGCAGAAACGCGAACUCGGGCCCGUCGUAUUGGCUCCCAGAAGCUAUCUUCACAAUUUUGACCUCGGAUCAGGUAGGGAUACCCGCUGAACUUAAGCAUAUCAAUAAGCGGAGGA
rnacentral:misc_RNA from 1 species